rnacentral:rRNA from 1 species
AGCGAACGCUGGCGGCAGGCUUAACACAUGCAAGUCGAGCGGGCACUUUCGGGUGUCAGCGGCGGACGGGUGAGUAACGCGUGGGAACGUGCCCUCUGGUUCGGAAUAACUCAGGGAAACUUGAGCUAAUACCGGAUACGCCCUUUUGAGGAAAGGCUUGCUGCCGGAGGAUCGGCCCGCGUCUGAUUAGCUAGUUGGUGAGGUAACGGCUCACCAAGGCGACGAUCAGUAGCUGGUCUGAGAGGAUGAUCAGCCACACUGGGACUGAGACACGGCCCAGACUCCUACGGGAGGCAGCAGUGGGGAAUAUUGGACAAUGGGCGCAAGCCUGAUCCAGCCAUGCCGCGUGAGUGAUGAAGGCCUUAGGGUUGUAAAGCUCUUUUAUCCGGGACGAUAAUGACGGUACCGGAGGAAUAAGCCCCGGCUAACUUCGUG